rnacentral:lncRNA from 1 species
AAACUUCUGCAUAUGGUAUUUUUUACAAAAAUUCCAACAAAAGAUAUUCUAUUUGCAGACAUGGAUUAGGACAUAUGAAUGAAAUUUGUUUCAAAAACAUACCUAGCGCUGAAAGAAGCCAAUCAUGUACUAACCUUCAUCUAUGUAUUUAUUGGGAUGACAGAAGCAACAAUAGCGAGGACCCUAUAUUAGAGCACCUAAGGAGAUGUGGCGUUAUGAGAUCAUCACAUUGACUUCAUAUAACUAUAGAAUAUAACUUUAAUACUGAACUGAGACUCAACAAUCAGUGCACUGUCAAUAGUAUCCCUAUCCUAUACAUGCUAGAAGCUGCAAGGAGUAGCCAUCCCUGUACUGGAUGCACCUAAGAGGAUGUGCUGUUAUGAGACCAUGACAUUGACUUUGGAUAAAUAUAGGACAUAACUUAAAUUGACACUUAACACUCAACAAUCAGCGCACAGUCAAGAUUGUCCUUAUGCACAAUAGAACCUGUAAAAGAGUAUCCAUCCCCCUAGAUCGCCGGCAAAAUUUCCCAGUUUCUUAUCUGUAUAUGCAUCUUUUAGUACAUGGAAAAAAAGAAACUACGUUAAAUAUUGCCAACUAACAACACUAAAAUGACCAGCCCGUUAAAGGCCUCCACUAAAAUGUUCGUCUCAUUUACUUCUUUCAUUUUUGCAACUAUAUAAAAAUAUCUCAGAACCGCUUAACAAAAGGGAAAGUAGUGGCUGCAUCCACUUUCGGUGCACCCACGAUGCACCCACGCAAGAAAACAUAUGAAAACAUUUCAAAAAAUAUGAAACUUCGUGAAAAUGAUGAUCAACACAUGUUAUGAGGGCGUGCAAAGUUUGGUGGUCAAAUAACAUUCGAGAAGCGCCCUACAAAAAAGAAAAAAAUGCAAAAUCUGCUCAAACAGUGCACAUACAUUUUGACUAAUUUUCAAUGAUUUUGUCUUUUUUGUAGAGAGCUCCUCGAAUGUUAUUUGGCCACCAAAUUUUGCAAGCCCCCAUAACAUUUGUUGAUGAUCAUUUUCACGAAGUUUUAGAUUUUUUCGAAAUGUUUUGAUAUGUUUUCUUGCGUGGGUGCACCGAGAGUGGGUGUAGAAGAACCACUCUCUUAACAAAAUUAAAGCAGUUUACUUAUUCCAUUUUGCAGGCCUCGGCUUACAUGCUUUUUCCUAGGCUUCCAUGUCUGAAAGGUAGCACGCUUCUAUAAUCAUCGAGGAGCUAUAAAUUAUAAACAUAUAGGUGUAUGGCAGUGCUAGGGUAGAUAUUAUCGAAUCCAAGCUCUGUAAAUUGUAAAUUAACAUAAAACCAAACAAUGUGCAUGAUAGGCACAUGUCUCCAUUAACUGAAGCACACAGUUUCAAGUCAGGCUCGCACAUUACCAAAAAAACAUUUGAAAGGAAGAAAUCACACAUCACACAAAGAUUUUAGGAAGAAACAUAAGGUGAAACAACCUUGUUCCACUCACACAUAAUGUCUGACACACAACCUCCAGUAAUCUCACCAACACAUGCAUCUACUCAGACCACAAUACCCCAUACCUAACUUCAAUACACCACUUUUCUAUCUGAACACAUAAAUGAGUUUGAAGACAGAGGUGUUGGGCUGAAUAAAUUUACAGUAUAGAUACCCAGUGUUUCCGAUCUGCAACUUGGGUGCUCAUUAGAAUCCGCACACCAUUUUACUCUAGUUGUACUAUUAAAAUUGCACAGAAGUGGCUUUAGUUCCAUGUUAACGCCUUGAAGAAAUUUGAAUGAGAUUGACUGUCGUGCUUAUUGCAUCCUCUGUAGAUUUAUUCAUGAAGUGGAUAGUGCUAUCGUCUUUUUCAUUUGCAAUAGAAUUGAUAUGCAACUGUCUAUAUUUCAUUUUAUGUGAUUUUGCAAAUUGGAAGUGCAUGCUAUGAGAUAAAACACGCAGUAAGUACAAUAUAACUGGAGUGCUGACUGCUAAGUGGAUUCAUAACUCAUAAGUCAUACCAUGUGUCUCCACUUCCGAGCCAAUAAGUCCAAAUGAUGUCAGCAAGAAAUUUACAAAAUCCAAAUGCUAUUGGAUCCAGAAAGCGUAUUCUUGACAUAUGAAAUUACAUCUCUUUAUGAGAGAAAUAAUUACGCUAGAAAUCAAAAUAAAUUCGAACGGAAUCAUGGGUGUCCUGUAGCAAACAAACAAAUUAAGAGUAGAUCCAGAUAUACUUACUACCAUCAGGCCCAGCCGUUGCUUGCUACACACCGAGCCUCCAUCGCAGUGCUUAACGCCUUUCCCUCUCUUGGCAAUCACACCGGCCCUCACCGGAAUUUGAGCGAGCAGAACGCCUAGAAGGCAUCACCAAUAGAGGAGAAGCAGCAACCCCAGGGAAGCCCGUGAUGGCAUGAAGGGGAUUAGGUAAAGGAGGGCACCGAGGAGAAGAUGGAGAGGGAUCGCCGCAAAAAGAGGACGGCGACGCGGAAGUAGCAGCGGCGCAGCAGAUGGGGAUUUGUUUUCUAUCGAGAAAAUCAGGAAAGUUAUCUACUUGCCUGAGGCUGUCCGAUCUGAUUCAAAUUGUAUUCAACGUGCCUCCUUUUGCACUGGAUCUUCCAACGUGAAUUGCAUUUUGCUCGGGGCAUAGAAGUUGACAGGAUUGAAUGACCUCCUCAUCAACCAGCAUGGAUUGCAUCGUCAUUGGGAGUUGGGGUAUUGGAGAUUCAACAUGGAAAGAAUUGGAGAUUCAACAUGGAAGGAAUUGGAGAUUCAACAUGGAAGGAGACUGGAAAGAGGUUGGUUGGAUUUCUUUAGAUGAUUGUUGCACGAAGACUGCAAAUUAGAGAGAAGAGAGAGGACCGGAUAUGAGGAGCAGCAAUGUUAUGUUCUUCGGUCGGCAAGAUUGGCGAAGGAAGAAAUCUGCAAGUAUAAUCUUUUUUUCUAAAAGAGGAGCACGUGGGAGAGUAGUCUAGGACUCCUAGUGUACCUUGUUUUAGGUAAGGUACCUCAUUUUUUCCUAAAAAAAGAGCAUGUGGG